UACGUAGGUGGCAAGCGUUGUCCGGAAUUAUUGGGCGUAAAGCGCGCGCAGGCGGUCCUUUAAGUCUGAUGUGAAAGCCCACGGCUCAACCGUGGAGGGUCAUUGGAAACUGGGGGACUUGAGUGCAGAAGAGAAGAGUGGAAUUCCACGUGUAGCGGUGAAAUGCGUAGAGAUGUGGAGGAAUACCAGUGGCGAAGGCGACUCUUUGGUCUGUAACUGACGCUGAGGCGCGAAAGCGUGGGGAGCAAACAGG
rnacentral:rRNA from 1 species